rnacentral:lncRNA from 1 species
CCAUCUUAUGCUUAAAGAAAAGUAGCAUGGCCCUGUACAACCUAGGGUUUUUUGUAAAAAAAAUAUCCUUCAGUGUUUGAAUAUUCAGAGGUUUUUUUUCCACAUGAUUGACUUGCUCCUCUUCCCCAGAGCGCCAAACAGCUUCAGAGAAAGGAGUUUGCUGGAGAAUGGACUGUCUCUCCCACACACAGGUUUUGAAGGAUUUGUGUUAAGAAGGAGGAAUGAUGUGGAAAGGUUCAUCAGCUGCCUUUUGAGCUGGAGCAGAGUCCUAGUGUGCAGUCAUCACUCCUCAUCACCCUGUGCUUUGCAGGGCCUAAGCAAACCCAGCUUUCAUAACUCUUCCUCCUGGAGAUUAAACUAAAAUUGAUCCAUACUCUGGAAGCAAAGUAUUUUAUACUGGCUAGCACAGUAUGGCUGGAUUUCCCUGACCUAGCAAGUCCUGUCAUGGGCCAGGGAAGGUAUUCUCAAACAAGCAUUCAGAAACUGGGAUAUGUACCAAAAACUCAUGAAAUUUUCAAGAUUGAUAACUUUCAUUUUGUUUGCUUUUGCCUUCUGCUUUCAUACUGUUUCAACGGCAAGGCUUCCAGAUAUUGAUAACUUCAAUGGAUGGAGAAAAUAAAUGUUCUCAAUGAAUUACA